rnacentral:tRNA from 1 species
GCCAUCUUGGCUCAGUGGUUAGAGUGUCAGCCAGCAGACUGAAGGGUCCCAGUUCGAUUCUGGUUAAGGGCA